rnacentral:rRNA from 2 species
GUGGCAGACGGGUGAGUAACGCGUGGGAACGUACCUUUCGCUACGGAAUAGCUCCGGGAAACUGGUGGUAAUACCGUAUACGCCCUCAGGGGGAAAGAUUUAUCGGCGAAAGAUCGGCCCGCGUUGGAUUAGCUAGUUGGUGAGGUAAUGGCUCACAAAGGCGACGAUCCAUAGCUGGUCUGAGAGGAUGAUCAGCCACACUGGGACUGAGACACGGCCCAGACUCCUACGGGAGGCAGCAGUGGGGAAUCUUGCACAAUGGGCGAAAGCCUGAUGCAGCCAUGCCGCGUGAAUGAUGAAGGCCUUAGGGUUGUAAAAUUCUUUCGUCAGGGAUGAUAAUGACCGUACCUGAAGAAGAAGCCCCGGCUAACUUCGUGCCAGCAGCCGCGGUAAUACGAAGGGGGCUAGCGUUGUUCGGAAUUACUGGGCGUAAAGCGCACGUAGGCGGACUUUUAAGUCAGGUGUGAAAUCCCGGGGCUCAACCUCGGAACUGCAUUUGAAACUGGAAGUCUUGAGACCAGGAGAGGUUAGCGGAAUACCGAGUGUAGAGGUGAAAUUCGUAGAUAUUCGGUGGAACACCAGUGGCGAAGGCGGCUAACUGGACUGGUACUGACGCUGAGGUGCGAAAGUGUGGGGAGCAAACAGGAUUAGAUACCCUGGUAGUCCAC